rnacentral:rRNA from 1 species
GCAUACGGUCACACCACCCUGAAAGCACCCAAUCUUGUCUGAUUUUGGAAGUGAUCCAGGGCUGGGCCUGGUUAGUACUUGGGUGGGAGACCGCCUGGGAAUACCAGGUGUCCUAGGCU